AUGUCAUUUGGUCUGACUAACACACCUGCAUAUUUCAUGAACAUGAUGAACAAGGUGUUUAUGGAGUUUCUGGAUAAGUUCGCCGUGGUGUUCAUUGAUGAUAUUUUGGUCUACUCAAAGAAUGAAGAGGAGCACAAGGAGCAUUUGCGUUUGGUACUCGAGAAGCUCAGAGAACAUCAGUUAUAUGCCAAGUUCAGCAAAUGUGAGUUUUGGUUGAAGGAAGUUGUAUUCCUCGGACAUGUUAUAUCCAGAGAAGGAAUAGCAGUAGACCCCACCAAGGUUGUCACUGUGACAAACUGGGAAUCACCCACGUCAGUUGGAGAGAUCCAGAGUUUUCUUGGACUCGCAGGAUACUACCGAAGGUUCAUUGAGAAUUUCUCGAAAACUGUGAAGCCCAUGACGGAGUUGUUGAAGAAGGAUACCAAGUUCAAAUGGACUGAAGAAUGUGAGGCCAGUUUCCAGGAGUUGAAGAAACGUUUGGUUACAUCGCCAGUGUUGAUUCUGCCAGAUCAGCGCAAGGAUUAUGAGGUGUAUUGCGACGCUUCACGUCGAGGACUUGGAGCAGUGCUUAUGCAGGAGGGAAGAGUUGUUUCGUAUGCCUCACGACAGCUU
rnacentral:rRNA from 1 species